AGAUCAGGUUGCCUUCAACCAUAUCUAUUACCAAAAUUGUGCAAACUUCUCAGUCUUCCAAGCAGCUUUGUGUCUAUCUCUAUAACUAUCUCUAAUAUUUUUCCCACCAGCCUGAUUGAAUUCCAACUUGUGUUAUGGCAGGUAGCAAGUGUAUUAUAUUUUGUUUGAUGUGCCUUCUUGAUUUUUGGUGAGGAAGAUAAAGUAAGAUAUUUUUAAGUGAGUUGCUUCUUGAAAUAUGCAGAUAAGUGUAUAUUUUUGUCAAUAUUAUUUAUUUUUUCAUGCUCAGUAACUGAGUCAAUAGCUGCAUGAAGAUAACUGGUAAGUUUUGAUCUAGAUAGCAUAUGUGAGGUUUUCUAUCAAAAUGUUGUGAUUUUCAAUAUGUGCCUAUCCUUAAAUCAAAUUGCCUUUGAAGCCAGAAAUUGAGUUUAAAAAUAUUUUAAUUAGGAAAUUUUAUGCCUCUUUUGAUUUUAAAAUUGAAAUUAUCUAUUGAUACUACUUUUAACAGAGUCUCUUUGAGAGUUCUACAAAGAUUCAAGUGUGUACACCUGAGUCUAUUUAUCAAAGUGUAACGAAGCAUAUAAAUAGAGAAGUAGAAGAGCCUCCUGAGAAGUCAUCUGCCUUCAAGGUAUUUAGUUUUAUAAUUUCAUUUUGAAUGACUUCUUAACUAUGUAUUUUGUGAAGUAUCCAUUCUUGAUUAAUCAUUGUUCUUCCAAACCCAUUUAGCCUGCCACUGAAAUACAAAACUCUUUUCCAAAUGAAGCCUUCGAAUGCAAGAAGGAACAACCUUUGACAGCAGAUCAGAUGAUCCCAUCAGAAUCCAAACAAAAGGACAAUGAAGAAAAUUCUUGGGAUCUAGAGAGUGACCGUGAGACUGUUUCACAGAAGGAUGUGUGUUUACCCAAGGCUACACCUCAAAAAGAAUUCCAUACGAUAAGUGGAAAAUUAGAAGGUAAGAACCAUUUUUUAUUUAAAGAGUCAUUGGACCAAAUAUUUCUCUAAACUGAUGAGGAAGGAUAUCCUCUAAUAGCCAAAGAAAAUUACCUCCUAAAUGCAAAGCACGGAAAAAAAGAGAAGUGAAAAGGUGAUAUGUUAUACAUCUUAUCAGCUCUAGGCAACAGACUAUAUUGAGAGUGCUGAAAAGGAGGUGAAUUAUUAGUUUGAAUUCAAGAUAUUCCAAGACCUGAGGAAAAUGAGAAAGUAAGAAAGAAGAAAGUAGUAAAAGAGGAAAUGAAGACUGAGAAAGACAGAGCGUACAGAGAGUAUAUGAAGGAACAAGAAACAGGUUUAUGUAAUGGAGGAUGAUAAAAUAAAGUGAUUCUUUACGAGAAGAUCGGGUAAUGUUAGAAACUGGGAAGAAUAUAAAUUGAACUUCUCGUACAAAAGUUUAGCAGAGAAUUACAGCAAAGGAAUUCUGACACUUCCUGUCUUUCUCACUGGUGGGAAGCCAUUAGGGAUGGAAACACCUGACCAUGGAGAGCUGUGUUCUAUAUGCAGUAGGUGAGACUAAGCAUAUAUGCACGGCCACACAUGUAUAUAAUUUGUCAUAUACACUUUGUAUAGACCAGAAGUUUUCAUAGAAAAUCAGCUGAAAACCUUGUUAGCAAUUCACACUGUGAUUCAGCCAACUUGGGAUUCUGCAUUUUUCAUAAGUUCUCUGGCGAUGCU
rnacentral:lncRNA from 10 species